rnacentral:SRP_RNA from 1 species
GCCAGGUGUGCUGGUGCACACCUGUAGUCUCAGCUACUCAGGAGGCUGAGGCAGGAGAAUCACUUGAGUCCAGGAGGCAGAGGUUGCAGUGAGCCAAGAUGGCACCACUGCACUCCAGCCUGGGCAACAGAGUGAGACUCUGUCUCAA